GACGAACGCUGGCGGCGUGCCUAAUACAUGCAAGUAGAACGCACAGUUUAUACCGUAGCUUGCUACACCAUAAACUGUGAGUUGCGAACGGGUGAGUAACGCGUAGGUAACCUGCCUGGUAGCGGGGGAUAACUAUUGGAAACGAUAGCUAAUACCGCAUAAUAUUGAUUAUUGCAUGAUAAUUGAUUGAAAGAUGCUAUUGCAUCACUACCAGAUGGACCUGCGUUGUAUUAGCUAGUAGGUGAGGUAACGGCUCACCUAGGCGACGAUACAUAGCCGACCUGAGAGGGUGAUCGGCCGCACUGGGACUGAGACACGGCCCAGACUCCUACGGGAGGCAGCAGUAGGGAAUCUUCGGCAAUGGACGAAAGUCUGACCGAGCAACGCCGCGUGAGUGAAGAAGGUUUUCGGAUCGUAAAGCUCUGUUGUAAGAGAAGAACGGGUGUGAGAGUGGAAAGUUCACACUGUGACGGUAUCUUACCAGAAAGGGACGGCUAACUACGUG
rnacentral:rRNA from 1 species